rnacentral:rRNA from 1 species
UAUCGCCAGAAUACGUUAGCAUGGAAUAAUACUAUAGGAUUUUGGUCCUAUUUUGUUGGUUUCUAGGAUUAAAAUAAUGAUUAAUAGGGACAAUUGGGGGCAUUCGUAUCAACACGUCAGAGGUGGAAUUCUUGGAUUGUGUUGCGACGAACUACUGCGAAAGCAUUUGCCAAGGAUGUUUUCAUUGAUCAAGAACGAAAGUAAGGGGAUCGAAGAUGAUUAGAUACCGUCGUAGUCUUUACCACAAACUAUGCCAACUAGAGAUGGGACAUCGUCUUCUUACGACUUGUUCCGCACCUUAUGAGAUAUCAAAGUCUUUGGGUUCCGGGGGGAGUAUGGUCGCAAGACUGGAACUUAAAGGAAUUGACGGAAGGGCACCACCAGGAGUGGAGCCUGCGGCUUAAUUUGACUCAACACGGGGAAACUCACCAGGUCCAGACAUAAUAAGGAUUGACAGAUUGAUAGCUCUUUCUUGAUUUUAUGGGUGGUGGUGCAUGGCCGUUCUUAGUUCGUGGAGUGAUUUGUCUGCUUAAUUGCGUUAACGAACGAGACCUUAACCUGCUAAAUAGAAUCGUAUAUCUUCGGAUAAACGACUUUCUUCUUAGAGGGACUUUGUGCGUUCAGCAUGAGGAAGUUUGAGGCUAAAACAGGUCUGUGAUGCCCUUAGAUGUUCUGGGCUGCACGCGCGCUACACUGAUGCGUUCAACGAGUGUACAACCUUGCCCGAUAGGGUUGGGUAACCUUUUGAACACGCAUCGUGAUGGGGAUAGAUUAUUGCAAUUAUUAAUCUUCAACGAGGAAUUCCUAGUAAUGAUGGUUCAUCAGACCGUCGUGAUUACGUCCCUGCCCUUUGUACACACCGCCCGUCGCUCCUACCGAUUGAGCAAUCCGGUGAAUAUUUCGGACCGACUGGCUCGGGGCAACCUGCUGCUAGUUGGAAAGUCAAGUAAACCUUAUUGCUUAGAGGAGAGGAGAAGUCGUAACAAGGUUUCCGUAG